AACGAACGCUGGCGGCAGGCCUAACACAUGCAAGUCGAGCGAGGACUUCGGUUCUAGCGGCGGACGGGUGAGUAACGCGUGGGAAUGUGCCCUUCUCUACGGAAUAGCCCUGGGAAACUGGGAGUAAUACCGUAUACGCCCUAUUGGGGAAAGAUUUAUCGGAGAAGGAUCAGCCCGCGUUGGAUUAGGUAGUUGGUGGGGUAAUGGCCUACCAAGCCGACGAUCCAUAGCUGGUUUGAGAGGAUGAUCAGCCACACUGGGACUGAGACACGGCCCUGACUCCUACGGGAGGCAGCAGUGGGGAAUCUUAGACAAUGGGGGCAACCCUGAUCUAGCCAUGCCGCGUGAGUGAUGAAGGCCUUAGGGUUGUAAAGCUCUUUCAGCUGGGAAGAUAAUGACGGUACCAGCAGAAGAAGCCCCGGCUAACUCCGUG
rnacentral:rRNA from 1 species